AGAGCUUAUGGUGAAUGCCUUGGGACAAACAGGCGAUGAAGGACGUGCUAAUCUGCGAUAAGCAACGGGUAGCUGAUAAGAGGCUUUAAUCCGUUGAUCUCCGAAUGAGGAAACUCAAUCUAAUGAGAAUUAGAUUACUGUAUAAAUGAAUUCAUAGUUUAACAGAGCGAUACCUGGUGAAGUGAAACAUCUCAGUAACCAGAGGAAAAGAAAACGAAGUGAUUCCCUGUGUAGCGGCGAGCGAAAGGGGAGUAGGCCAAACCGAAUUUCGAUUCGGGGUUGUAGGACUACAAUAUGGAAUAGAGAAUGAUAGUAGAAUUGGUUGGGAAGCCAAAUCAUAGAGGGUGAUAAUCCCGUAUACGAAAUCAUUCUUUUACCUAGUAGGAUCCUGAGUAGGGCGGGACACGUGAAAUCCUGUCUGAAUCCACCCAGACCAUUGGGUAAGCCUAAAUACUAGUUUGUCACCGAUAGAGCAUAGUACCGUGAGGGAACGGUGAAAAGAACCCAGAGAUGGGAGUGAAAUAGAACCUGAAACCAUAAGCUUACAAGGUGUUAGAGCACAUUAAUGUGUGAUAGCGUGCCUUUUGAAGUAUGAGCCAGCGAGUUAUUAUAGCAUGCGAGGUUAAAUCGUAGAGAUGGAGCCGUAGGGAAACCGAGUCUUAAUAGGGCGUUUUAGUAUGUUAUAAUAGACGCGAAACGGGGUGAUCUAUCCAUGGGCAGGUUGAAGGUGAAGUAACAUUCACUGGAGGACCGAACCCACUUUCGUUGAAACGACAGGGGAUGACCUGUGGAUAGUGGUGAAAUUCCAAUCGAACUCCGUGAUAGCUCGUUCUCGUCGAAAUAUUUUUAGGAAUAGCGUUAGAUUAUUGGGAAUAUGGGGGUAAAGCACUGAAUCUAUGAUGGCGCCACCUCGGUGUACUGAAUAGAAUCAAACUCUGAAUACCAUAUUACCUAUUCUAGCAGUCAGACAGUGGGGGAUAAGCUUCAUUGUCGCGAGGGAAACAGCCCAGAUCAUUAACUAAGGUCCCUAAUAUAUGCUAAGUGGAAAACGAUGUUGAGUUUCAUAAACAGCAAGGAUGUUGGCUUAGAAGCAGCCACCGUUUAAAGAGUGCGUAACAGCUCACUUGUCGAGAGACUCUGCGCGGAAGAUGUAACGGGGCUAAGCAUAUAACCGAAGUUAUGGGUUACAUAUUAUAUAUGUAGCGGUAGACGAGUGUUGUAUAUGGGGCGAAGGUAGACUGUGAAGACUACUGGACUUUAUACAAGUAAGAAUGCUGGCGUGAGUAACGAAUGAGAGUGAGAAUCUCUCAAACCGAUUGACUAAGGGUUCCUGGGCAAGGGUCGUCCUCCCAGGGUAAGUCGGAUCCUAAGGCGAGGCUGAAAAGCGUAGUCGAUGGAAAACAGGUUAAUAUUCCUGUACCUACAAAUUGUGUGAUGGAGUGACGGAGAAGGUUAUUAUGUGCCGGUUAUUGGAUUCCGGUUUAAAUAACAAGGUUAGUAAGUUGGCAAAUCCGCUUACUAUUAGGACCAAGUUAUGAAUACGAGCGACCCCUUCGGGCAGUAGCGAAGACAUAUACAUCAUGCUUCCAAGAAAAGCUUCUAGCGUUAAACAAUUAGUAGUCCGUACCGAGAACGAACACACGUGGUCAAGGAGAAUAUCCUAAGGUUAGCGAGUUAACUACAGUUAAGGAACUCUGCAAAUUAACCCCGUACGUUAGCAAUAAGGGGUGCUCGCUGUAAAAGGUGAGCCGCAGUGAAUAGCGAGGGGGGACUGUUUAACAAAAACACAGCUCUAUGCUAAGUCGUAAGACGAUGUAUAUGGGGUGACACCUGCCCAAUGCUGUAAGGUUAAAGAAGAAUGUUAGCGCAAGCGAAGCUUUUAACUGAAGCCCCAGUGAAUGGCGGCCGUAACUAUAACGGUCCUAAGGUAGCGAAAUUCCUUGUCGGGUAAAUUCCGUCCCGCUUGAAUGGUGUAACCAUCUCUUGACUGUCUCAACUGUAGACUCGGUGAAAUCCUGGUGAGGGUGAAGACGCCCUCUUGGCGUGAUUGGACGGAAAGACCCCAUGAAGCUUUACUGUAGCUUAAUAUUGGGAAAUUUUAUUACUUGUAGAGCAUAGGUAGGAGACUGUGAAGUAUACUCGCUAGGGUAUAUGGAGUCAACGUUGGAAUACUACCCUUGUGAUAAGAUUUCUCUAACCUGCAGCCAUGAAUCUGGCUGGGGGACAGUGUUAGGUGGGCAGUUUGACUGGGGCGGUCGCCUC
rnacentral:rRNA from 1 species